GUAAAAAUUGGAGAGAUUGUUAUGAACGUACAAAAUUUAUAUAUAUGAACUGAAAAGUAAAAAGAUGACUGUGUCGGCUGUGUUGGUUUCGAUUAGCAUCAGCCCAUCUCUUUCCGCGAAUAUCGUAGAAGGCAAUUAUGGAAUAGGCAUGAUGACAGUGGUCAAGUAUCGCCAAAAUAUUUAAUUGAUCUAAUGAAACAGGAUUCAAGGAUUUUGAAAAAUGUAUUUAUUUUCAUAAAUAUGAUUCAUUUCAUUCAUUCAGAUGUAUGAUGUUAAAAUAAAUCUACAAAAUACAACAAUCAGCCAUGAUAGCUUAAACACCAAUCAGAGCGAAUUACGCUAAAAAUUCCGCCUUUAUUUUCUACAGAAAUAUGAUAUAUUUUUGAUAUAAUAGAUACUUCUUAAUAUCAUAGAAUAGAUUUUGAAAAUUAGUCAUCAUGCCUAUUCACCGGAGAAAGGGCAGCAGUGUUCUCAGAAUGCAUCAGUGUACUGCGAUCGCUAAUCGGUAUUUAAUGGUAUUGUAGGGUAUCCCAUUCUGAAUACCGGACAUAGGACUACUUUGCUGCAAGUACUUAAAGGAGGGGGAGGAAACAAUUCCUACUUGAUUGGAAUGAAACUAAGCUUACUACUAGUAGAAUAAAAUUAAACAACUGAACAGUUUU